rnacentral:rRNA from 1 species
CCUACGGGUGGCUGCAGUAAGGAAUAUUGGUCAAUGGACGCAAGUCUGAACCAGCCAUGCCGCGUGGAGGAUGAAGGUCCUCUGGAUUGUAAACUUCUUUUAUUUGGGAAGAAACUCCCGAUUUCCAUCGGGAUUGACGGUACCAGAUGAAUAAGCACCGGCUAACUCCGUGCCAGCAGCCGCGGUAAUACGGAGGUUGCAAGAUUUACCCGGAUUAAAGGGUUUUUAGGUGUGCAUGUAAGUCAGGGUAGAAAUCUCCGGGCUUAACCCGGAAACUGCCAUUGAUACUAUUUGUCUUGAAUACUCUGGAGGUGAGCGGAAUAUGUCAUGUAGCGGUGAAAUGCUUAGAUAUGACAUAGAACACCCAUUGCGAAGGCAGCUCACUACGGAAAUAUUGACGCUGAGGCACGAAAGCGUGGGGAUCAAACAGGAUUAGAUACCCGUGUAGUC